CACUUAGCUUUUGAUCCCCACUGUUUGCUUAUUUGUAUAAGUCAUACUGUGUAGAAUUUCUAUUUUCUUUCUCCCCAUUAAAAGAGGACCAAACAAUUCUUUAUACAAAUGGAGUAGCAACUAGUUUUGUAGCACUACAUUUAAUGUAAUGAGAUACCUUUGUUCAUUUUUUAAAAUUUGAAAUAUUACUUUACCUGAUCCACUUUGAUUAUAUACUAUAUUAUUUGUUAAUUUUAAUUUUGUCCUGUUCCUAGACUGCUAGAAUCUGGCCCCUGGCCAUCUUAAAGUGCCAACAUAUGCCUGCAGGGUUUGUAAAAAAUGGUCUGGAGUGACACAUUUGAUUAUACCUAAUAUUCACUGCAUCAGCAUCCACAUCUAGCUCUCUUACUUGUCCACAGAUAAUGUAAACAAAGCAGGGAAAAGCUUAUUAAAAAAUUCUCCUUCGCUGCUGGCUUGUGCUGGUUUAGUGCCUGUGUCCCUGGCAGUGUCCAGUGUGUUCGCUUCCAGUUGAAGUAUCCAUGUGUUUCUGGGCAGCUUUCCUGCUCAGUGUGAUCCUGAGAUGGCUUCCCCCCCGCCACCCAGAGUGUGGUCCUUGGCCGCCUCCUGCUCCUGCUCUGCAAGCCUGAAACUGGCUUGUCUGGAGCCAGGAGUUAGUCCUGGGGUGUGUGUGUGCCUGCGCACCCAUGCGCAUGCAAGUGUGUUUGCCAGCUCAGGAACUGUCUCCUCUCUACCUGGCUAGUAAGAGGUAAGACAGUAAUGGUCCUCCUGCUGGCCCCAGCAAGGCCCAUAAGUGACUGCCCUUACUUACUCACUGUGCCUCUGGGCCACUUCUUCCCCUGUAGAUGUGGGCUUGUUGCCUUCAGCUGACUUCCCUGAGGGAGGAGAACACUGGAUUAUUGGAAAUGUUUUAAUCACUCUUGCCAUUACCUACAUCUAUUAGCAUUGAUGAUGAAAAGCUGUUACUGAUGAUUAUAGAUUAGUAUUUCCAGGACAACUUUCUAAAAUUAUAAUUAUUUCUUAUUAGGGAGCUGACAGGUAGUUUGGCAAAGCAUUGAUGUACAAAGGUACAUUUUCAAUUAAAAAGCAUACUUCUACAAAAGAUUUGGUUUUUAAAUUAUGGUUAAACAUUUCAGUAACUCAUAGCUACCAUGCAAGUUGGUAGACCUUAUAAGAAGGCACUUGUUUUUAAGCCAGAGGAGAAGAAACUUUAAUUGCAUCCUAUCAGAUUGUUGAGGUGGGUGUGAUAGUCUUCGAGUGCAGAGCGUUCAUUCACUAACACUCAAUGUCAGUGCCCAUGUUAGCUCGCUGCCUCCAUGUGACUAGCGAGCUGCUGGUGAAAGUCGUGUGAAGUCCUGUACACUGUGUAUAAUGUAAUUUUAUGUUAAUUGUUAAUUACUUUAAAAAAAAAUCUACCAUCUGAUUGGCUGGAACCGAGAGCUGUGGGUAAAAUUUGAAAAUUGUAUUUAGAGUAAGAAGUUUUACAUUUUAAACCCUAUUCUCCUUUAUGCAUUUUCAAUGAAAUGGAAUGAAGGCUAAUGUGCUUGCUUUAUUUUCUUUUGUAAUCUUGGAUUUUGUAGCUUUUAAAACUAGAAACCAUUGUUCUAACAAAGCAGGCAACUCUACUCUAUAAACACAACUUUAUUAAGCAGAAUACACUGUAGAUGCUUUUCCCCAAUGUAUCUGGCUGGCAGUCUUUGUCGUUGUUCAUCCUGGGGAUAAAGGGGAACUAGGCUAGCAGUUCUAAUGUGACAUUCUUUAAGCAUAUCUUAAAAUAGUAUUUAAGUAAAUGGUCUAAUUUCUACAUAAUUAUUGCACUGAACUGUCUUUUUUGUUUAUUAAGGUGUUUAAAUAAGCUCAGCUAAUUCAAGACACUGUAGCCACUUGUGCAUCAGCGUGCUUGAAUUUAGUAGCUUACAGCAUUAUUUAUGAAGGAAAAAAUACAUAAAUAUGAAGUACCUCAUGUUGAAUGUUAUUGUACUGUAUUUUUAAUGUAACAGUGCAGAUCUUGUUAGACACAUGAAUGUGUAUAAUCAUGUUAAAUGCAAA
ensembl:lncRNA